rnacentral:rRNA from 1 species
UACGGAGGGGGCAAGCGUUGUCCGGACUUACUGGGCGUAAAGCGUGCGCAGGCGGCUUUGCAAGACAGAUGUGAAAUCCCCGGGCUUAACCUGGGAACUGCAUUUGUGACUGCAUGGCUAGAGUGCGGCAGAGGGGGAUGGAAUUCCGCGUGUAGCAGUGAAAUGCGUAGAUAUGCGGAGGAACACCGAUGGCGAAGGCAAUCCCCUGGGCCUGCACUGACGCUCAUGCACGAAAGCGUGGGGAGCAAACAGG